GACGAACGCUGGCGGCAUGCUUUACACAUGCAAGUCGAACGGUAACAGGUUAAGCUGACGAGUGGCGAACGGGUGAGUAAUGCGUCGGAACGUGCCCGAUCGUGGGGGAUAACGCAGCGAAAGCUGCGCUAAUACCGCAUACGAUCUGAGGAUGAAAGCGGGGGACCGUAAGGCCUCGCGCGAUCGGAGCGGCCGAUGUCAGAUUAGGUAGUUGGUGGGGUAAAGGCUCACCAAGCCAACGAUCUGUAGCUGGUCUGAGAGGACGACCAGCCACACUGGGACUGAGACACGGCCCAGACUCCUACGGGAGGCAGCAGUGGGUAAUUUUGGACAAUGGGCGAAAGCCUAAUCCAGCAAUGCCGCGUGCAGGAAGAAGGCCUUCGGGUUGUAAACUGCUUUUGUACGGAGCGAAAAGGUCUCCUCUAAUACAGGGGGCUCAUGACGGUACCGUAAGAAUAAGCACCGGCUAACUACGUGCCAGCCGCCGCGGUAA
rnacentral:rRNA from 1 species